rnacentral:rRNA from 1 species
AACCAACGCUGGCGGCGUGCCUAAUACAUGCAAGUCGAUCGGGGAAAGUAGCAAUAUGCGUCCUAGUGGCGCACGGGUGAGUAACGCGUGGAUAAUCUGCCUUGAAGAGGGGGAUAACUAGUCGAAAGAUUAGCUAAUACCGCAUAAGACCACAAGAACUGAGGUUCAAGGGGUCAAAGGUUUUUCGCUUCAAGAUGAGUCCGCGUAAGAUUAGCUAGUUGGUGAGGUAAUGGCUCACCAAGGCAACGAUCUUUAACUGGUCUGAGAGGAUGAUCAGUCACACUGGAACUGAGACACGGUCCAGACUCCUACGGGAGGCAGCAGUAGGGAAUAUUGCACAAUGGAGGAAACUCUGAUGCAGCGACGCCGCGUGAGUGAUGAAGGCCUUCGGGUCGUAAAGCUCUGUCGCAGGGGAAUAACACAAUGAAUGUACCCUGUAAGAAAGGAUCGGCUAACUUCGUG